ACGCACGCUGGCGGCAUGCCUAACACAUGCAAGUCGAACGGGACCUUCGGGUCUUGUGGCGCACGGGUGCGUAACGCGUGGGAACCUGCCCUUAGGUUCGGAAUAACUCCCCGUAAGGGGUGCUAAUACCGGAUAAUGUCUUCGGACCAAAGAUUUAUCGCCUUUGGAUGGGCCCGCGUUGGAUUAGCUAGUUGGUAGGGUAAAAGCCUACCAAGGCGACGAUCCAUAGCUGGGCUGAGAGGAUGACCAGCCACACUGGGACUGAGACACGGCCCAGAUCCCUACGGGAGGCAGCAGUGGGGAAUAUUGGACAAUGAGCGAAAGCCUGAUCCAGCAAUGCCGCGUAAGUGAUGAAGGCCUUAGGGUUGUAAAGCUCUUUUAACCGGGAUGAUAAUGACAGUACCGGGAGAAUAAGCUCCGGCUAACUCCGUG
rnacentral:rRNA from 1 species